GAUGAAGAACGCAGCGAAAUGCGAUACGUAGUGUGAAUUGCAGAAUUCAGUGAAUCAUCGAAUCUUUGAACGCACAUUGCACCUCUCGGUAUUCCGGGAGGUAUGCCUGUUCGAGCGUCAUUUGUACCCUCAAGCUCUGCUUGGUGUUGGGUGUUUGUUCCGCCUCUGUGUGUGAACUCGCCUCAAAACAAUUGGCAGCCGGCGUACUUGUUUCGGAGCGCAGCACAUUUUGCGAUCCAGAUCAACGUACAGCGGCAUCCAAGAAGCCUUAUUUAACGCUCUUGACCUCGGAUCAGGUAGGGAUACCCGCUGAACUUAAGCAUAUCAAUAACGGAGA
rnacentral:misc_RNA from 1 species